AAUGCAUUAACCCUUUAUUGUUCAGAUUGCUCUGUUAAAUAUAAUACUUUUUCACUCAAAUUGUUUUGAAUUAAUCAUGCAUUUUCUUAUAACUUUGAGGUUUCAACGAAGUGAUUGUUUAUUUUUGAAAUGACAAUGUAGGUUAGGUGUGAGAGGCUAGAUAUUGCCAGUUUGAAUAUAAAACAUGUAGAAUAUCUGGGCCAGAUAUAGCUAGUUUAAACACUAAAUGG